UGAUAGCUGUGAAGCGCGAGGUUGCUGUCUGUCAGCAAUGGCAGGGAGGUUUUCCGUGGAGCGAAUGUCAAGUUAGAAAACUGACGACAA
rnacentral:ncRNA from 1 species